GCAGAUGUGGUGGAAUUGGUAGACACGCUAGCUUCAGGUGCUAGUGCCUUCACCGGCGUGGGAGUUCGAGUCUCCCCAUCUGCA
rnacentral:tRNA from 1 species